rnacentral:lncRNA from 1 species
AGUCCCCACAGCACUCCAAGUCGCAGGGUGCCCUCUAGCCAGAGUCCUGGCAGCCCCUGGGGAAGCAGAUUUCCCAGAGAUCCUUGUAGCAACCCAAGUAAAGCCAUGUCCACCAGCAGCAGAGAGACCCAGGGCCUCAGCCACAGAUCAUGCUGCCCAUGGAGAGGCCCAUCCCCCGGUACUGCAGCAUCAUGUUGGAAAGCAGCUUGGAUGCUGCAGACACGGAGAUGCGUUCCCCAUUCCGAAGAUAAUACAGCCUGUACAAUCGAGCGAGGAGGAGGAGAGAGAAGGAGGCCUCAGGGGCGGCAGCUACACCUGCAUUCAUUUUCUCCCAUAGCACGAGGGAGCAGGGAUUGUAGAGAUGAGUG